rnacentral:rRNA from 1 species
CGUGUAGGCGGUUGAGUGAGUCAGAUGUGAAAGCCUUCCGCUUAACGGGAGAAGUGCAUUUGAUACUGCUCGGCUGGAGUACGGGAGAGGAGAGUGGAAUUCCCGGUGUAGGGGUGAAAUCCGUAGAUAUCGGGAGGAACACCAGUGGCGAAGGCGGCUCUCUGGUCCGAUACUGACGCUGAGACGCGAAAGCGUGGGGAGCAAACAGGAUUAGAUACCCUGGUAGUCCACGCCGUAAACGAUGGGCACUAGGUGUAGGAGGUAUUGACCCCUUCUGUGCCGAAGCUAACGCAUUAAGUGCCCCGCCUGGGGAGUACGGCCGCAAGGCUAAA